GACGAACGCUAGCGGCGUGCUUAACACAUGCAAGUCGAACGGAAAGGCCCUGCUUUUGUGGGGUGCUCGAGUGGCGAACGGGUGAGUAACACGUGAGUAACCUGCCCUUGACUUUGGGAUAACUUCAGGAAACUGGGGCUAAUACCGGAUAGGAGCUCCUGCUGCAUGGUGGGGGUUGGAAAGUUUCGGCGGUUGGGGAUGGACUCGCGGCUUAUCAGCUUGUUGGUGGGGUAGUGGCUUACCAAGGCUUUGACGGGUAGCCGGCCUGAGAGGGUGACCGGCCACAUUGGGACUGAGAUACGGCCCAGACUCCUACGGGAGGCAGCAGGGGGGAAUAUGGCACAAUGGGCGGAAGCCUGAGGCAGCAACGCCGCGUUCGGGAUGACGGCCUUCGGGUUGUAAACCGCUUUCGCCUGUGACGAAGCGUGAGUGACGGUAAUGGGUAAAGAAGCACCGGCUAACUACGUG
rnacentral:rRNA from 1 species